AGUGAACGCUGGCGGUAGGCCUAACACAUGCAAGUCGAACGGCAGCACAGUAAUAGCUUGCUCUUACGGGUGGCGAGUGGCGGACGGGUGAGGAAUACAUCGGAAUCUACUUUUUCGUAGGGGAUAACGUAGGGAAACUUACGCUAAUACCGCAUACGACCUACGGGUGAAAGCAGGGGAUCUUCGGACCUUGCGCGAUUGAAUGAGCCGAUGUCGGAUUAGCUAGUUGGCGGGGUAAAGGCCCACCAAGGCGACGAUCCGUAGCUGGUCUGAGAGGAUGAUCAGCCACACUGGAACUGAGACACGGUCCAGACUCCUACGGGAGGCAGCAGUGGGGAAUAUUGGACAAUGGGCGCAAGCCUGAUCCAGCCAUACCGCGUGGGUGAAGAAGGCCUUCGGGUUGUAAAGCCCUUUUGUUGGGAAAGAAAAGCAGCAGGUUAAUACCCCGCUGUUCUGACGGUACCCAAAGAAUAAGCACCGGCUAACUUCGUG
rnacentral:rRNA from 1 species